GAUUAAGUUAUUAAGGGCGCACGGUGGAUGCCUUGGCACUAGAAGCCGAAGAAGGACGUUACUAACGACGAUAUGCUUUGGGGAGCUGUAAGUAAGCGUUGAUCCAGAGAUUUCCGAAUGGGGAAACCCAACAUGAGUUAUGUCAUGUUAUCGAUAUGUGAAUACAUAGCAUAUCAGAAGGCAGACCCGGAGAACUGAAACAUCUUAGUACCCGGAGGAAGAGAAAGAAAAAUCGAUUCCCUGAGUAGCGGCGAGCGAAACGGGAAGAGCCCAAACCAACAAGCUUGCUUGUUGGGGUUGUAGGACACUCUAUACGGAGUUACAAAAGUAUAUAUUAGACGAAUCAUCUGGAAAGUUGAAUCAAAGAAGGUAAUAAUCCUGUAGUCGAAAAUAUAUACUCUCUUGAGUGGAUCCUGAGUACGACGGAGCACGUGAAAUUCCGUCGGAAUCUGGGAGGACCAUCUCCUAAGGCUAAAUACUCUCUAGUGACCGAUAGUGAACCAGUACCGUGAGGGAAAGGUGAAAAGUACCCCGGAAGGGGAGUGAAAGAGAACUUGAAACCGUGUGCUUACAAGUAGUCAGAGCCCGUUAAUGGGUGAUGGCGUGCCUUUUGUAGAAUGAACCGGCGAGUUACGAUUUGAUGCAAGGUUAAGCAGUGAAUGUGGAGCCGUAGCGAAAGCGAGUCUGAAUAGGGCGUUGAGUAUUUGGUCGUAGACCCGAAACCAGGUGAUCUACCCUUGGUCAGGUUGAAGUUCAGGUAACACUGAAUGGAGGACCGAACCGACUUACGUUGAAAAGUGAGCGGAUGAACUGAGGGUAGCGGAGAAAUUCCAAUCGAACCUGGAGAUAGCUGGUUCUCUCCGAAAUAGCUUUAGGGCUAGCCUCAAGUGAUGAUUAUUGGAGGUAGAGCACUGUUUGGACGAGGGGCCCUUCUCGGGUUACCGAAUUCAGACAAACUCCGAAUGCCAAUCAAUUUAACUUGGGAGUCAGAACAUGGGUGAUAAGGUCCGUGUUCGAAAGGGAAACAGCCCAGACCACCAGCUAAGGUCCCAAAAUAUAUGUUAAGUGGAAAAGGAUGUGGCGUUGCCCAGACAACUAGGAUGUUGGCUUAGAAGCAGCCAUCAUUUAAAGAGUGCGUAAUAGCUCACUAGUCGAGUGACACUGCGCCGAAAAUGUACCGGGGCUAAACAUAUUACCGAAGCUGUGGAUUGUCCGUAGGACAAUGGUAGGAGAGCGUUCUAAGGGCGUUGAAGCAUGAUCGCAAGGACAUGUGGAGCGCUUAGAAGUGAGAAUGCCGGUGUGAGUAGCGAAAGACGGGUGAGAAUCCCGUCCACCGAUUGACUAAGGUUUCCAGAGGAAGGCUCGUCCGCUCUGGGUUAGUCGGGUCCUAAGCUGAGGCCGACAGGCGUAGGCGAUGGAUAACAGGUUGAUAUUCCUGUACCACCUAGUAUCGUUUUAAUCGAUGGGGGGACGCAGUAGGAUAGGCGAAGCGUGCUAUUGGAUUGCACGUCCAAGCAGUAAGACUGAGUGUUAGGCAAAUCCGGCACUCRUAAGGUCAAGCUGUGAUGGGGAGAGGAAAUUGUUUCCUCGAGUCGUUGAUUUCACACUGCCAAGAAAAGCCUCUAGAUAGAUAACAGGUGCCCGUACCGCAAACCGACACAGGUAGUCAAGAUGAGAAUUCUAAGGUGAGCGAGCGAACUCUCGUUAAGGAACUCGGCAAAAUGACCCCGUAACUUCGGGAGAAGGGGUGCUCUUUAGGGUUAACGCCCAGAAGAGCCGCAGUGAAUAGGCCCAAGCGACUGUUUAUCAAAAACACAGGUCUCUGCUAAACCGUAAGGUGAUGUAUAGGGGCUGACGCCUGCCCGGUGCUGGAAGGUUAAGAGGAGUAGUUAGCUUCUGCGAAGCUACGAAUCGAAGCCCCAGUAAACGGCGGCCGUAACUAUAACGGUCCUAAGGUAGCGAAAUUCCUUGUCGGGUAAGUUCCGACCCGCACGAAAGGCGUAACGAUUUGGGCACUGUCUCAACGAGAGACUCGGUGAAAUCAUAGUACCUGUGAAGAUGCAGGUUACCCGCGACAGGACGGAAAGACCCCGUGGAGCUUUACUGUAGCCUGAUAUUGAAAUUCGGCACAGCUUGUACAGGAUAGGUAGGAGCCUUUGAAACGUGAGCGCUAGCUUACGUGGAGGCAUUGGUGGGAUACUACCCUAGCUGUGUUGGCUUUCUAACCCGCACCACUUAUCGUGGUGGGAGACAGUGUCAGGUGGGCAGUUUGACUGGGGCGGUCGCCUCCUAAAAGGUAACGGAGGCGCUCAAAGGUUCCCUCAGAAUGGUUGGAAAUCAUUCAUAGAGUGUAAAGGCAUAAGGGAGCUUGACUGCGAGACUUACAAGUCGAGCAGGGUCGAAAGACGGACUUAGUGAUCCGGUGGUUCCGCAUGGAAGGGCCAUCGCUCAACGGAUAAAAGCUACCCCGGGGAUAACAGGCUUAUCUCCCCCAAGAGUUCACAUCGACGGGGAG
rnacentral:rRNA from 1 species